CAGCCAUCUUGCGCCCAGGCUCUGCCCCCACAUCACUGUUCUCUUUUCCCCUCUGUGAAAACCUGCCUCUUUAAAAUCAGACCCUCUGAGUGUUCGAAUGUUAAAGCCGUCCUCGUCACUCCCCGGAUGGCAGCCAAACUUCAGUGACUCAAGCCUUUGGUACACAUCUCACAGCUAAAGAAGGCUCCACCUGACGUAUGGUCCUGAACAAAGCUGGAGACAUCCAAAUCAAAUUGACUAGGAAGAGAAGCAGCCACACCUGAGGCAGAAAGCUUUCCCAAGGCUUCUUGACACAUAAAUGAAGAUGGACAAAAUAAUUUUAUUUCAAAGGAUAAGAAAAUCUAUACACCUUAACUUAUUUCAUCUUCUCCAAAAGUUGCUUGGUGUUUUUUAAUCUGCAACCAAAGAUUCUUAGGAACUCCUGAAGUUUGGAAGAAGCACCGUGAAAGCCAAUUUUUCUCCCAGUAACUUCACGGAAAGAAUCUGCAGGAACCCAACCUUGUUUCGAGGACCAUCAGUAUACCUUAAAGACCAAAGCAGCAACACUUAAGAUUUACAUAUUGACCAAGCAUUGGUGAUCCAGGAUGCUUUUGAUAAAAGGAAAUGCAAAAAAUACCAUUUUAUAAAUAGUGGUGUUCAUCAUUCAAGCACUGAGAUAACUUAAAUCUCUGACAAGUUCCUUGGGCUCAAUCCUGAGAAGCAAUUCCUCUGGACAUGCCUGGACUCUCCCACACAGAGCCUCUCUUCCUGUCUCUCAGAGCCUCCCAAAAGGAAAGCAGCCCUCUGACGCAGCGAUCUUUAGCCCAUGCAGACCUGCAUCAGACUUCUGACCUUCCGAGCGUCCAGGAUAUUUCUGAAGAUGGUUCCAGAGAAACUACUGUCUCAUGGAUUUGGGAGUUUUAUAUUCCUGCUGCAAAUUUCUAGAGCCCUCAUGAGUUGAGCACACCGCUGCCGUUCUCUGACUAUUCAGAGCUGCCCGUCUCUCCCAUCCCCUAGCUUUUCCUCAGUGUGCAGAUGGACUCUUCUUGUUUCUAUCCUUUCUCCAUUUCCCACAUAGAGGUUGGGGGCUCAUUUUCAAUUAAUUCAAAGAGAUUAAGAUUCAUUUUGUUAACUUGUGAAACUACAGAGAUGCCGCUUUGUUGUCCACUAAUACUAACGCAUUAAAAUGAAGCUCAAACGCAAUAUCAUAGUAAAAUACCUAUCAUUUAUUGAGCAUGUUCUAUGUCUUUGUACUAUAGCCUUGUUCCAUAUCCAUGUGUUAUCUGAUAUAAUCUUCAAAAGUCUUUUAAUAGAUAUUAUUAUCCUAAUUUUACAGGAGAGGAAAAUAUGGUCCAGAGAAGUAAUUUACAAAAUUGUUUGCAAAGAUGUUUGCCAAAUGGCUCAGCUAUUAAGUAUCAGAAUAAAAAUUCAAUCUCUUUAAUGCCUGGCUCCAAAGCCAGGAUCUCCUUAUGCUGCAUAACCUAUGAACAAGGACAUCAGCAUAACCUGUCCUGCACCCAGACUCAGACGUUGAUACUCACCCAAUGGAAAUAUUAUAUCAGUCUCCUACUCAAAAGUUUCCAGUGGCAUGUCUGGUUUUUAUCCUUAUAUUACAUCUAAAUUAUUUCAUCUGUUUUUAAGGUCCUUUUGUAUCUGGGCCAACCUUUGUUUCAAUUACAAGAACGACCCAAAGAAGGGCUAUCCUGUGUUACCAGUAUCAACAGAGCUAUUAGUGAACUAGCAUUUUUAAACUCCCAGUCACUCUUUGCUAAAACCACAGCACUGUAGGGUUUGCACAGAAAUUUGGGGCCGGAGCUAGGAGACUGACCGACCAAGAAAGACUUCAUUCUGUGUUUUUUCUUCUUUCCUCUAAUGACUAAGAUUAGCCUCCACAGAAAAUAGAUUCACCCAGAACCUUCCUUUCCUGUGAAUGAGAAUCUUAAAAUAUCCUUUGAAGAGACUCCUAUGCAAGGGGUGGAAGAUGGCUAUGUCCUAUUCCAUCUGCCACAGUACAAACCCACAUCUCAGGUUAGACAGUGUCAGGACUUCAAUAGAUCUUGGUGAUGCCUAACCUCCAGCAACUGCCCAACUUCAUUCUACCUGUUUAAACUUCAAGUCCAUGAACUUCUUGUUUCAGCUCUCACAUGUAAAGAGCUCAGAGUUUUCAACACCAUCCUUACAACCUAAAAAGCUAAACAAUCUAAAAAACAAUUACUUUCCUUGAACACAUCAGAGAACUGAAGACAUAGGGCAAACCACCAACCUCCAAAUCUGGAAAGACUUGGGUAUCCAGAGAGAUACAGCAGUUGAGAUUUGCUAACAGGAGGAGAAGAAAGUGGAGUCAUUAACUGGCAGGAAAAUUCACAGUUGAUAUAUUGGUGGAAGUUGGGUGUGGAGGGACCAGCAUGAAAAUGAGAAACUCCUGGGCCUCAGUCUUGGCGCUGAGGGCAUACUUCCUCUCCAGUAACCCAGAAGGUUUUCACAGUGAAGGUCUGAGAAAGAACUACAAAACAGCCAGAAAACAAUUAAAAAAAUAUCAAUAGUAUGCCCUUACCUAUCAAAAAUUAGUUUAAAUGUAAAUGAAUUAAGUUCACUUAUCAAAGACAUUGAGUGAGUGAAUGGAUAAAAAAACAACACCGACUUAGAAUUCUAUUCCAGUGAAAUUAUUCUUUAAAAGCAAAGGGCAAAUAGACUUUAUCAGACAAAUAAAAGUGGACAGACUUUACAGUUAGAAGAUCUGCCUACAAAGACUUCAGUGAGAAGAAAAAUUAUAUAGGUCAGAAACUCAGAUGCACAUAAAGAAAGGAAAAGCAUCAGAGAAAGAACAAGUUAAACUAAAAGUUCUAACUUUUUUAUUCUUAACUGAUCUAAAAUAUAACUCUAUUCAAAUCAAUAAUAGUAAAAAGUGUUGGCUGAUGACAGCAUAUGGAUAAAUUAAAUGAAUAACAGCAAUGCCAAAAAAGAUGAGAAAGAGGAAUUAGGAAUAGUCUGUUAUAGGGCACAUGCAUUGCAGAUGAAGUGGUAGAGUGUUAUUUGAAGGUGGAUUUAAAUUCAUUUAAAAAUAAUUCAAACUUUAAGAUAAUCAUUAAUUUUUUAAAAGAGAGGAGAUAAAAUAAAAUCAUGUUAAAUCCUGAUUAAAACUAGAGAAGCCAUCAGAGGCCGGCCUGGUGACACAGCAGUUAAAUUCAUGCGUUCUGCUUUGGCUGCCCAGGGUUUGCCUGUUCUGAUCCUGGGUGCAGACAUGGCACUGCUUGUCAAGCCAUGCCGUGGCAG